rnacentral:tRNA from 1 species
AUUUUUCUAGUAUAAAAGUAUAACUGACUUCCAAUCAGUAGGUCUGGUAUGCCCAGGAAAAAUA